AGUGAACGCUGGCGGUAGGCCUAACACAUGCAAGUCGAACGGCAGCACAGUAAGAGCUUGCUCUUACGGGUGGCGAGUGGCGGACGGGUGAGGAAUACAUCGGAAUCUACUUUUUCGUGGGGGAUAACGUAGGGACACUUACGCUAAUACCGCAUACGACCUACGGGUGAAAGCAGGGGAUCUUCGUACCUUGCGCGAUUGAAUGAGCCGAUGUCGGAUUAGCUAGUUGGCGGGGUAAAGGCCCACCAAGGCGACGAUCCGUAGCUGGUCUGAGAGGAUGAUCAGCCACACUGGAACUGAGACACGGUCCAGACUCCUACGGGAGGCAGCAGUGGGGAAUAUUGGACAAUGGGCGCAAGCCUGAUCCAGCCAUACCGCGUGGGUGAAGAAGGCCUUCGGGUUGUAAAGCCCUUUUGUUGGGAAAGAAAAGCAGCAGGUUAAUACCCCGCUGUUCUGACGGUACCCAAAGAAUAAGCACCGGCUAACUUCGUG
rnacentral:rRNA from 1 species